UACACGGUAUGUAAGGAAUUAAAUUUUAGAGUUGGAGUGCACACAAUGGGCUGGAGUGACAUAUUUCAUGUUUCACAAUAUGCAGAUGGCAUCAGGAGAGGAGGCUUCGCAUCAGCAGUACCAAAGCACACCUGAUUCGGACAAAAAGGGAUGACAAAGGGCUUCAGAAAGCUGCUCAGCAACUCCUGAAAUCCAGCUCCUACAAGAGUGCUGCCAUGUGCUAUGGAAUUACAACUGAAGGCACAGCACGAGAGGACCUGGAGAGAAGGCUUGGAGCAAGAAUUGUGCAGACUGGACUGGUGGUUCUUCCUGAGCAACCUUGGCUGUGCUGCAGCCCCGACGGACUUGUACAGCUUGCUAAUGAGACUGUCCUGAUUGAAAUCAAGUGCACAUAUAAAUUCAAGGAUACACCAUUUAUCAGAUACGAAGAACGGCAUUGUGAGCUUCCAUAUUUGAUAUUCAUUGAUGACAAAAUUGAAUUAAGAAAGUCACACCAAUACUACACUCAGUUGCAGGUCCAAAUGUAUGUUCUUAAUUUGCAGAAAGCUUUGCUCUUUGUGUACAGUCAAGAUCAGUGUGUAAUAGUUGCUGUAAAGAGGGAUGAAGCGUUUUUGUGGGAGCUCAUCCCUAA